rnacentral:rRNA from 1 species
UAACCACGAAUAGGCAAGUACGUAACGGAAGGUUACGAAUGUAAACCAGUGGAUUCGUAACUUAGUGGCGGAACGGGUGGAGUAACCGCGUGGAUAACCUGCCUUACACUGGGGGAGUAACACUUAGAAAUAGGUGCUAAUACCGCAUAGCGCACGGAGCCGCAUGGCGUUAGUGUGAAAAACUCCGGUGGUGUAAGAUGGAUCCGCGUCUGAUUAGCUGGUUGGCGGGGUAGAAGCCCACCAAGGCGACGAUCAGUAGCCGGCCUGAGAGGGUGAACGGCCACAUUGGGACUGAGACACGGCCCAAACUCCUACGGGAGGCAGCAGUGGGGGAUAUUGCACAAUGGGGGAAACCCUGAUGCAGCAACGCCGCGUGAGUGAAGAAGUCAUUCGUGAUGUAAAGCUCUAUCAGCAGGGAAGAAAAUGACGGUACCUGAGUAAGAAGCCCCGGCUAACUACGUG